UACGAAGGGGGCGAGCGUUGUUCGGAUUUACUGGGCGUAAAGGGCGCGCAGGCGGUUCUGUUUGUCGAGUGUGAAAGCCCCGGGCUCAACCUGGGAACUGCGCUCGAAACGGCGGAACUAGAGUUCGGGAGAGGAGAGUGGAAUUCCCAGUGUAGAGGUGAAAUUCGUAGAUAUGUGGAGGAACACCGAUGGCGAAGGCAGCCCCCUGGGUCAAAACUGACGCUCAUGCACGAAAGCGUGGGGAGCAAACAGG
rnacentral:rRNA from 1 species